rnacentral:rRNA from 1 species
UGGCUCAGGAUGAACGCGGGCGGCGUGCCUAAUACAUGCAAGUCGAACGCUUUGUCUUUAAUUGAUAUGAAGAGCUUGCUCUGAUGUGAUUUUAUCUGACAAAGAGUGGCGAACGGGUGAGUAACACGUGGGUAACCUACCUCUUAGCAGGGGAUAACAUUUGGAAACAAGUGCUAAUACCGUAUAAUACCAACAACCGCAUGGUUGUUGGUUGAAAGAUGGUUCUGCUAUCACUAAGAGAUGGACCCGCGGUGCAUUAGCUAGUUGGUAAGGUAACGGCUUACCAAGGCAAUGAUGCAUAGCCGAGUUGAGAGACUGAUCGGCCACAAUGGGACUGAGACACGGCCCAUACUCCUACGGGAGGCAGCAGUAGGGAAUCUUCCACAAUGGGCGCAAGCCUGAUGGAGCAACGCCGCGUGUGUGAUGAAGGGUUUCGGCUCGUAAAACACUGUUAUAAGAGAAGAACGGCACUGAGAG